GGCCAUUGCUGUGCGCGCGCGCGCGGGCAUGUGCAUGGUUCAGGGAAGAGGCUGCAUUUCACAGAGACUCUGUCCCAGGAGGUAGGCAUUUUUUCUUUUCUUUCUUUCCUUCCUUCCUUCCUCCCUUCCUUCCUUCCUUCCUAACUUCCUUCCUUCCUUUUUCUUUCUCUCUCUUUUCUUUUCUUUCUUUCUUUUUUUUUGACAGAGUCUUGCUCUAUCGCCCAGGCUGGAGUGCAGUGGCGUGAUCUCGGCUUAUUGUAACCUCCACCUCCCAGGUUCAAGCAAUUCUCGUGCCUCAGCCUCCUGAGUACCUGGGACUAGGGGUACGCACCACCACGCCCAGCUAAUUUUUGUAUUUUUAGUAGAGAUGGGGUUUCACCAUGAUGGCCAGGCUGAUUUCGAACUCCUGGCCUUAAGUGAGCCUCCUGCCUCGUUCUCCCAAAGUGCUGGGAUUACAGGCGUGAGCCACCAUGCCCAGCCGGCAUUUUCAUCUGGACUCUGCCAUGGGGCUCAGCAAAUCAGAUGUGACCUGGUGACAGGUGCCAAGAAGGUCUGGCGACCACAGGUUUCUUGUCGGUUUCUGCCUGGGACCCCCGCACCUCCCUACCAGUAUUCCCAACCCAACGAAAGACCGGCCAAGUACAAACCAAGGGCAGCCCUGAAGCCCAGGACCAUGAGGCCUGGAAGGCCCCAGGACAGGUGAUUUGUGGCCCUGGUGUCUCAGGUCAGGAGCAGGGCAGAGCCACCUUCCUCCCUCCCUGUGCGGGGCUGCAUGAGCUCAGGGACCUUUGGACCUGAGAAAGGUCAGGCUCACUUCCUCCCCGUGCCUGCGGUUGGCCGCAGGGGGAAUAUUCUCCUGACCCGAGUCCCGAAGCCCUGGGCGUGGAGUUUCCCUGGACUGGGAGAAAGUAAACACCGAGGGACUUGCCAAGAGGAAAUGGAGAAGCCCAGGUGUUCUGGGCGGAGCUGAGUGUCCCGCAGGGGGUUCCGCAGCUCCUCGCCUCUGGAAGACCAAGGACAGCUUUCCCCAGGGCUACAGCCUCACGCUCCCCUCCCAUCGUGGCUGGGCCUUUACUUGGGGGUGAGUGUCCUACAGACGAGGGGCUUAAAGCUACAGGAAUGCCUCGUCUCGCAGAGCUGGAGGCUGGAAGGCAGAUCGGCCUGUGAGGGCCGCGGUCACUCUUGGUCCUGAGCCCUCCUUGUCCGGCUGCUGGUGUCACGGGCACUCCUUGGGGUUCCUUGGCUUGUGGGAGCAUCGCGCCGGCCCCGCCUCUGUCAUCAGGCCGCCUCCCCUUCUCUUCUCGAAGGACACCUGCUACGGCGAGGGCCUCUCCAGGAUGACCUCAUCUCGUUCUCCACUAAUCACAGCUGCAAAGAUUUAUUUCCAAAUAAAGUCGCCUUCUUGGGUUCCAGGGGACCUGAUUUUGGGAGGCGCUGUUCCCCCAGCACAGGGAUACAGCAGGCCCUUGGCCUCAUCGGACAUCUGGUGCCCGCGCGCCCUCUCACUCACGUUGUCCAGGCCUCUGCCCUUCUCAACACCCGGACGUGGGCGUUCAGGUGUCCUUCCUGCCCUGGCGUAUGCCCCACUUAGCUGAGUGGGGGGCUUAGACCUCCGCCCCAUCUGCAGUCCUCCUGGGGCCUGCCAAUCAGACCCCCUGCAGCUGCAUGGUCUUGGGGCAUUGCUGUAAGGCCCUGGGGCCUUUCUGAAUCCAUCUGCAAGCUGGAGCUGAGUCCAGGAGCUGAGGCCGGGAGCAGGAGAAACUUAGCAGCUUGAAACAGCACCCGCUCGGCACACAUUCCUUUUGGGAGUGUGAAAUGGUGCAGCUGCUGUGGGAAAUGGUCUGGUGAUUCCUCGCAAAGCUAAACAAUUGCCAUAGCACCCUGCAGUUCCACACCUGGGGAUGCACAGCCAGAAAUGAAGACGGGUGUCUGAGCAAAAACUCGGACAUGAGUGUUCACAGCAGCGUUAUUCACAGUAGCUAGAAGGUGGAAACAACCCAAGUGUCCGUGGACCGAGGAACAGAUCAACAGGCCACGGCGCACGCACGACGGAGUAUUGUGCAGCCAGAAAAAGGGUGAAGCUCCCUUACACAUUAUGGCGUGGGUGAGCCUCAGAAACAUGGUGCUAAGUGACUGCGUUUAUAUAAAAAGCUUGCACUGAUGUAAAGUGUCUAGAGUAGAGAAACCCAGGAGAUGAAGUGGAUUCGUGGCUUCCAGGGCCUGAGGGCAGAGGGAAGGGACCGGCUGCUGAUGGGUCUCCGUUUGGGAAGAUGAACGAGUUCUGGAGCUUGCUUGAGGCAGUGUCUGCACAACAGUGUGAGUGCACGGAAUGUGGCUGAAUUGGACUCUUUAAAAUAGUUCAGGUGGGCAAUGUUAUGUUAUGUGUGUUUUACUACCAUACAAAUAAGUAAAUAAAUGGACAAGCCUGCACCAUCUUGUAGCUCACACCUGCAGGUCAGGAGCCGGCCUGGGUCCCCUGCUGGGGCCUCACCUGGGGCUCAGGCCUCCUCCCAGGCUGGUUCAGAAUCCAGGUCCUUGUGGGUGUGGGACUGAGGUCCCCGUUUUCUCGCAGCUGUUGUCAGGGACUGCCCUCAGCUCCUAGGGCUUUCUCUCGGGUCCCUGCCUGGUGGCCUCUGGUGGCCCCUCCAUCUUCAAGCAGCAGGGGCCGGUGGAGUCCCCCCAUGAGUGGCUCUUUCUGGCCAUCCCUUCUGCACCCGCCAGAGGAAACUCCGCUUCUAAAGUGUUGGUGUGAUGAGGUCAGGCCCGGAGGCACCUCCCUGUUUUAAGGUCAGCGGGUUGGUGAACUUCACCAUGCCUUCAGAAUCCCUCUGCCACACAACACAGCCGUCUUGGGAGUAACACUGGAGGCAGAGACCACGGGCGACCUCCAAGAUCUGCUUACAACAGUCGUUUCAACAGAGUUGAGUCAGCUUGGGGCUUCUCCGAGUGACUGUGCACAGGGGUCCUGGGGCUUCUCCGAGUGACUGCGCGCAAGCGUCCUGGGACUUCUCCAAGUGACUGCGCACAGGCAUCCUGGGGCUUCUCCGAGUGACUGCGAACAGGCGUCCUGGGGCUUCUCUGAGCGACUGCGCACAGGCGUCCCUGGGGUCCCUGGGGUUAGGAUGC
rnacentral:lncRNA from 10 species